rfam:Ectocarpus siliculosus strain Ec 32, whole genome shotgun sequence assembly, chromosome LG32
AUGAAAAGUUUCAUUGAACUCCUUGGACUUCCAUGAAAUAUUUAUAUAUCAUGAAGAGCUCCACGGACGUCCAUGGAACUCUUGAUGUGGAAGGAAGUCCAUGGACGUCCAUGGAACUCUUCAUGUGGAAGUCCAUGGACGUCCAUGGAACUCUUCAUGAAAUAUUUCAUGGAAGUCCAAGGAGUUCCAUGAGAUGCCAUGA